UACGUAGGGUGCAAGCGUUGUCCGGAAUUAUUGGGCGUAAAGAGCUCGUAGGCGGCUUGUCGCGUCGACUGUGAAAACCCGCGGCUUAACUGCGGGACUGCAGUCGAUACGGGCAGGCUAGAGUUCGGUAGGGGAGACUGGAAUUCCUGGUGUAGCGGUGAAAUGCGCAGAUAUCAGGAGGAACACCGGUGGCGAAGGCGGGUCUCUGGGCCGACACUGACGCUGAUGCGCGAAAGCGUGGGGAGCAAACGGG
rnacentral:rRNA from 1 species